CACGUAGGUAAUCUACCUUUGGAUGGGGAAUAACAACCGGAAACGGUUGCUAAUACCGCAUAAUGCAGCGGCACCUAAUGGAGACAGUUGUUAAAGCGGGGGAUCGAAAGACCUCGCGUCUGAAGAGGAGCCUGCGGCAGAUUAGCUAGUUGGUAAGGUAACGGCUUACCAAGGCGAUGAUCUGUAGCCGGCCUGAGAGGGCGGUCGGCCACACUGACACUGACAUACGGGUCAGACUCCUACGGGAGGCAGCAGUCGGGAAUUUUGGGCAAUGGGCGAAAGCCUGACCCAGCAACGCCGCGUGAAAGAUGAAAUCCUUCGGGAUGUAAACUUCCCAAGAACGGGAAGAAUAAGUAAGACUUAAUAUCUCUUACGAUGACGGUACUGUUUGUAAGCUCCGGCUAACUCCGUGCCAGCUGCCGCGGUAAUACGGGGGGAGCAAGCGUUG
rnacentral:rRNA from 1 species